rnacentral:rRNA from 1 species
UACAGAGGGGCAAGCGUUGUUCGGAAUUACUGGGCGUAAAGGGCGCGUAGGCGGCCCGCUAAGUCGAACGUGAAAUCCCCGAGCUCAACUCGGGAACUGCGUCCGAUACUGGCGGGCUUGAAUCCGGGAGAGGGAUGCGGAAUUCCAGGUGUAGCGGUGAAAUGCGUAGAUAUCUGGAGGAACACCGGUGGCGAAGGCGGCAUCCUGGACCCGGCAUUGACGCUGAGGCGCGAAAGCUAGGGGAGCAAACGGGG